rnacentral:rRNA from 1 species
UACGAAGGGGGCUAGCGUUGUUCGGAAUUACUGGGCGUAAAGCGCGCGUAGGCGGACAUUUAAGUCAGGGGUGAAAUGCCGGGGCUCAACCUCGGAACUGCCUUUGAUACUGGAUGUCUGGAGUUCGGGAGAGGUGAGUGGAAUUCCGAGUGUAGAGGUGAAAUUCGUAGAUAUUGGGAAGAACACCGGUGGCGAAGGCGGCUCACUGGCCCGGUACUGACGCUGAGGUGCGAAAGCGUGGGGAGCAAACAGG